AGGACGAACGCUGGCGGCAUGCCUAAUACAUGCAAGUCGAGCGAAUCUUUAAAGGAGCUUGCUUCUUUAAAGAUUAGCGGCGGAUGGGUGAGUAACACGUGGGCAACCUGCCCUGCAGAUGGGGAUAACUCCGGGAAACCGGGGCUAAUACCGAAUAAACAGUUUGUCCGCAUGGACAAGCUCUAAAAGCGGUUUCGGCUGUCACUGUAGGAUGGGCCCGCGGCGCAUUAGCUAGUUGGUGGGAUAACGGCCUACCAAGGCGACGAUGCGUA
rnacentral:rRNA from 1 species